rnacentral:lncRNA from 10 species
UGUGCAUAAAUAUGAUUUGUUCAGUACAACUUCAAUUAAAAGAUUUUUUAUAGAACCUGACAAAUUAUAAAGUUUAUCUGAAAUUAUAAAUGGAAACUAGAAUGGAGCCUCCGUAACCACGGUCCUACAGCAGCUUGCAGCUGUCGUGGGAAACAUCAGGCUCCCUCUUCAGACAGCCUUCCUGGUGCUCUGGCACUAAUUUCAGUAUGCUCACAGGGAAAGCAGAGUGGACAGGGUAGAUAAAUGGUGACUCCCUCAUUCCAUUAAUAUUUGAUGCAGGAUCCAGCCUCUGCCCUCCAGCUCUAAGAGAAUCUCCAGCCAGAGCAUGGAUGAGGCCAGCAGGCAGAUCUCAGAGACAUUUCCUGGACGUUACUAUAUAGUUGGCACUGGUUCCCACAAUACAGCACAGAGAAUAGCUUUGUGACACUAGCUACGAAUUUGAUCAUAAUUUGAGAUCAGAUGCAUCCAUAAAAGAGUGGACUCUGAUAUAUUUCUCUCCCUACUUCUCAGACUUCAAAACCCACAGGGAUGGUAACAGCAGAGGUCAGAAGAAAAUUAAUUGCCAACAGAGAGGAGGGAAAACACACCUAAGAUAUCUACAUCCAAGAGGACAGGCCACCCAUUUGGGGAGCAUUUCAAUGCAGGGUUCAUGGACUUCCUGAAAUUCCAUCAUGGAUCAUCUACAUCAGGUCAACCAUACAUGCAAUGGAACCUUCCAUCUUGGCAGGUACCCAUAAUUAUUGCCUGCAUUUGUUCAUACAUCUUCCCUUUUUGUUCUUUUUUAUCUUCUUGUAGGCUCCUCUUGGGCAGUGGGCCUUUUUGUAUUUACAGUGGCUAACAGAGUGACAGCACAUAUCAAUAUUUAUUGAAUGAAAGUGGAUAUGUGUAAAGACAGAAUUCAAUAGGAUCUCACAUGGCUUUUAUUCUAAAACCUGCUGCAUGAAAGUUGCUUAUGCCUACAUAAUUCAAUCUCCCCUAGGAACAACUAACCACGUAGAGCAUCAGUUAGGAUUCUUCUGUUGAAAGCAAUAGAAAAAAAGUCCUAAAUAGACUUAAGUAAAGAUCAAUGUAUUGACUCAUGUAACUGAAGAGUCCCAUGGUAAGCUUUCUUUCAGACAUAGCUGGAUAUGCAGGAUUAAACAAUGUCUUUUUUUUUUUUUUUUUGCCAGUGUUAUUUUCCAACUCUCUGUUCUGUCUCCUGAUGUGUUGGCUCUGCUUACAUGUGGGUGCUUCAUUCACAUGGCAGGGUUGUGUCAGCCGCCACCAUCCCACAUGCUUCAAAAUUUAAGACCAUUAGAAAUGACAGAUUCUCUUCCAGGAGCUCCCACAAAAGUCCCGAGUUUCACUGUGGUUGGAAGGCUUAAGCCAAGUGCUUACUCUUGAACCAAUCACUGUGGCUUAGGCUGCUUCAUGUGAUCCACACCCGGAGCUGAGAUUGAUCCACACCCUGGCUGAGUGUGCUGAAUGCAAGAGUGGUUGACCUGCAUGUGAAAAUCUGAGGCCAUCACCAGCAUUGGGGGAAUGGAUGCAGAGCUCUCAAUGAAUGGCAAGCAUCCAUGUAUCCUCCUUGUCAUCUAAACCCCUUCGAAAGACACAGGUUUACAUAAGCUGCCCUCUCCCCUCUACAAAUACAGACAAUCUCUGUAAAGUAGGUCUAUUUAUUGGCAAAUAACAGAAAAGUUGCUUAAAACUAAUUUCAGAAAAGAAAAAUGAUUAUUUUGUGUUCUAUUACCAAAACGUCCAGGAACGGAGCCGAGCUGGCUUUGUGUGUAUUUAUAUUUAACUCAGUCUCUCUAAUUCCCUCAGCACUGUGCUGGCUUCGUUUUUAAGGUCCAUGUUGUGGCUUCUGGAGAUACAAGGUUGAACAUAAGGUCCCUGUAAUUGAGGUAUCUUACUCCUACUGAAUCCGGCUUGGUCCUAGAGUCCAUCCUUGAACCAAUCAGCAUGACCAAGAGGAUGGAACAUGUUGAAGAGGUUAGUCUGGAGAAUGUGUUUUAUUCAGAAAUCCAGCAGUGAAGUUAGCUUUGCAGAAACUACAUGGGUUGAGGAGACCCGGAAUAAAAAGACGGGGUACUAUAAUCACAAGGAGAAAGGGGAUAGUGAGAAGAAAAAAAGAGUAUUUAUUAAAAUAAUAUAACCUACUUUUUCAUCUUGGAGUCCCAACGUCUGCCUCCAUGUCCAGGAUCUCUGAAUGAUAUGCCAUAACAUUGGGUACAGAUGCGACUUCUCACGGUCUGGCAACUGUAGAUAAGUAACAAGCCUGACUACUCCCAAACAUACCCAGCACAGCACUGUGGAACACGAACGGCCAUUUAUCAAAAGCGGAGAAACUUCCACUUCCAUUGUUGAAAGACAGGCUUCUUCCAGCUUGGAAAGCCAAAUAAAAUAUAAAAUAUAUCUCUGUGGCAGCUGUGACACACCACGGUAAGUCCCACAUUCCAAACUGCUCUUCAGGAUCCUGUCAAUUCAGAGCAACAGUGAAGAGGCUUUCUAGCUAAACUGAAAGAAGCAACUGUGGGAGUGAGGGGAAGGGAAGUGACUCAGGUCCACCAAAAGGGAGAGACCACAGUAAAUAUCUCAGGCGUGUAGUCAGGAGCCUCAAACAUUUACAGAGUAGAAGAUGGAAAGAGAACUAGAAAAAUGGCUGGCCUUUAUAAGGUCUGAAGCCUAAAUUUGAAGCAGAUUGAUCCCUGAUUAGAUUGUGGUGCUCUGUGUCUACCCUAACUGGCUACCUGGUACAAACGAAAACCUCCCAUGAGAAAUAUAACAUCACUUAGAUUUUAAAAUUAUCUCUAUAGUGUUUCACAUCAUCAUUUGGAAUGUAAUAAGCAAAUGAUCAAGUCUAUCAAAAGACAGCAUAACAGAAUUUUUGGAGAAAAAUCAAACAAUAAAAACAAAUCUACAGAAGAUCCAGAAAUUGGGCAUAAGAUUUCAGAUGCUUUUUAAUUGGCGUGUUCAAUAUGAUGAAAAGUUGUAUCAGAGAAACCCUAAAAUUGAAUCAACCAUAAAUUCUAGAACUAAAAUGACAAAAGUAAAAGUAAUAGAUGCAUGUAUAAAUAUCUAGAGAAAAUACAAAACAAUAGUAAAUAAAUGUAUUACCAAGCUAGUAUUUUUUCUGGUCAUUUUCAUAAGAUAUUGACCAAAGCCAAAACUCUUGCUCAGUUGUAAUCUCUGAAUUUGAAAUCUGGCUGGUGAAUGUCCAUUUCUUUGCUCAUAAGUAUCUAUGCUCAGGCCCAUGAACUGGAGGCAUUUAAUUGAGCCCAUACAACAGGGCAAUAUGAAUCAAUGGCAUGAAGUAAAGAGGUAUGGGUCUUCCUCUGACCCCCAGGCUCCAUGCCAGCAGCAUCCCAACAAUGAAGGCAACUGAUUCCCCAUCUGGUAGAGAUGGAUAACAGGAGGUGCUAAGGAUUGGCCUUGAGAAACAGGAUUCUCUCAGGUUCUAAAAUAUUAGGUUGGUGCAAAAGUAAUUCUGGUUUUCACCAUUACUUUC